AGCGAAAUUCCUUGUCGGUUAAAUACCGACCUGCAUGAAUGGCGUAACGAGAUGGGUGCUGUCUCAAAGAGGGAUCCAGUGAAAUUGUAGUGGAGGUGAAAAUUCCUCCUACCCGCGGCUAGACGGAAAGACCCCGUGGACCUUUACUACAGCUUGACACUGCUACUUGGAUAAGAAUGUGCAGGAUAGGUGGGAGGCUUUGAGUAUAUGACGCCAGUUGUAUAUGAGCCAUUGUUGAGAUACCACUCUUUCUUAUUUGGGUAGCUAACCAGCUUGAGUUAUCCUCAAGUGGGACAAUGUCUGGUGGGUAGUUUGACUGGGGCGGUCGCCUCCCAAAUAAUAACGGAGGCUUACAAAGGUUGGCUCAGAACGGUUGGAAAUCGGUCGUAGAGUAUAAAGGUAUAAGCCAGCUUAACUGCAAGACAGACAAGUAAAGCAGAGACGAAAGUCUGUCUUAGGGAUUCCGUAGUUCUGUGUGGAAGGGUCAUCGCUCAAAGGAUAAAAGGUACCCCGGGGAUAACAGGCUGA
rnacentral:rRNA from 1 species